rnacentral:tRNA from 1 species
GCAGUGGUGGUUCAGUGGUAGCAUUCUUGCCUUCCAUGUAGGAAACCCAGGUUCAAUUCCCAGUCAGUGCA